rfam:Arabidopsis lyrata subsp. lyrata unplaced genomic scaffold ARALYscaffold_1, whole genome shotgun sequence.
AGGUGAGACUGUUGGCUUUAAUUCCACCAAUAACUUCAGCUGCGCCAUGAAGAGUAGACAGAAGAUUAUGGCGGUUGAGGGUUUCUUCGUAGAGGUUGAUCGAUCCUUAAUGUCCUGUGGAAUUUAAGUUUCCGAAACUGUUUAUGAGGACAUACAAGAUCGUUCAGUGUCCAAGAAGAAGCCUGAGCCGCUAUAAUCAUCGGUCUAAUCUCUUUAGCAGAUGAUGUUAUUUGUGGUAUAAAACCAACAGUUUUAUCA